AGCGAACGCUGGCGGCAGGCCUAACACAUGCAAGUCGAACGGACCCUUCGGGGUUAGUGGCGGACGGGUGAGUAACACGUGGGAACGUGCCUUUAGGUUCGGAAUAAGCCCGGGAAACUGGGUCUAAUACCGAAUGUGCCCUUCGGGGGAAAGAUUUAUCGCCUUUAGAGCGGCCCGCGUCUGAUUAGCUAGUUGGUGAGGUAAAAGCUCACCAAGGCGACGAUCAGUAGCUGGUCUGAGAGGAUGAUCAGCCACACUGGGACUGAGACACGGCCCAGACUCCUACGGGAGGCAGCAGUGGGGAAUCUUGCGCAAUGGGCGAAAGCCUGACGCAGCCAUGCCGCGUGAAUGAUGAAGGUCUUAGGAUUGUAAAAUUCUUUCACCGGGGACGAUAAUGACGGUACCCGGAGAAGAAGCCCCGGCUAACUUCGUGCCAGCCGCCGCUGUAACAC
rnacentral:rRNA from 1 species